rnacentral:rRNA from 1 species
GCUUACGGCCACACGGCCCUGAGUACGCCUGAUCUCGUCCGAUCUCGGAAGCUAAGCAGGUUCGGGCCCUGGUUUAGUACCUUGGAUGGGAGACCGCCUGGGAUACCAGGUGCUGUAAGCU